rnacentral:rRNA from 1 species
CCUACGGGAGGCAGCAGUGAGGAAUAUUGGUCAAUGGGCGAGAGCCUGAACCAGCGAAGUCGCGUGAAGGAUGAAGGAUCUAUGGUUUGUAAACUUCUUUUAUAUGGGAAUAAAGUGAGGAACGUGUUCCUUUUUGUAUGUACCAUAUGAAUAAGCAUCGGCUAACUCCGUGCCAGCAGCCGCGGUAAUACGGAGGAUGCGAGCGUUAUCCGGAUUUAUUGGGUUUAAAGGGUGCGUAGGCGGUUAAUUAAGUCAGCGGUGAAAGUUUGUGGCCCAACCAUAAAAUUGCCGUUGAAACUGGUUGACUUGAGUAUAUGUGAGGUAGGCGGAAUGCGUGGUGUAGCGGUGAAAUGCAUAGAUAUCACGAAGAACUCCGAUUGCGAAGGCAGCUUACUAAACUAUAACUGACACUGAAGCACGAAAGCGUGGGGAGCAAACAGGAUUAGAUACCCGUGUAGUC